rnacentral:rRNA from 1 species
AUUGAACGCUGGCGGUAUGCUUAACACAUGCAAGUCGGACGGCAGCAUGAUCUGUAGCAAUACAGAUUGAUGGCGAGUGGCGGACGGGUGAGAAACGCGUAGGAAUCUGCCUUGUAGAGGGGGACAACUAGAGGAAACUCUAGCUAAUACCGCAUAAAGUCGAAAGACCAAAUGCUGGGUAGCAAUACCUGGCGCUGUAAGAGGAGCCUGCGUCCGAUUAGCUAGUUGGUAGGGUAAAGGCCUACCAAGGCGAUGAUCGGUAGCUGGUCUGAGAGGAUGAUCAGCCAAACUGGGACUGAGACACGGCCCAGACUCCUACGGGAGGCAGCAGUGGGGAAUAUUGGACAAUGGGGGCAACCCUGAUCCAGCAAUACCGCGUGUGUGAAGAAGGCCUUCGGGUUGUAAAGCACUUUAGGUUGGGAGGAAGCGUUGUGUGUUAAUAGUACACAGCGUUGACGUUACCUACAGAAGAAGCACCGGCUAACUCUGUGCCAGCCGCCGCCGUAAGAC